AGGCCCUCACGGACGGUGGGUGAAUCUCUAGUGUCAAGUUGUCAAAUCUUGACUAGAUUUUCACUUAUCCUCUGUGGGGGCUG
rfam:Operophtera brumata OBRT01_Sc00157, whole genome shotgun sequence.